rnacentral:tRNA from 1 species
UCCCUGGUGGCUCAGAGGUUAAAGCAUCUGCCUGCAAUGUGGGAGGCCCGGGUUCAAUCCCUGAGCUGGGAA